rnacentral:rRNA from 1 species
CAAUAGCGUAUAUUAAAGUUGUUGCAGUUAAAAAGCUCGUAGUUGGAUCUGUGGCGUGCGGUGGGCUCCGGGCACUUGUUGUCUGAGUAGCUCGCCGCUGCCAUCCUUGGGUGGAACCUGUGUGGCAUUAGGUUGUCGUGCAGGGGAUGCCCAUCGUUUACUGUGAAAAAAUUAGAGUGUUCAAAGCAGGCUUAUGCCGUUGAAUAUAUUAGCAUGGAAUAAUGAGAUAGGACUUUUUCGCUAUUUUGUUGGUUUGCGCGAAGAGGUAAUGAUUAAUAGGGACAGUUGGGGGUAUUCGUAUUCCAUUGUCAGAGGUGAAAUUCUUGGAUUUUUGGAAGACGAACUACUGCGAAAGCAUUUACCAAGGAUGUUUUCAUUAA